GCUAAACCAAUAUACUUUAUUGAAUAUAUAUAUAUAAGCUACAUCUGGAAAAUGAGAAAUUUGGCCAAAUAUAAUAUUAUAGAUCAAGAAACAAAAAGACAGACAACAUAAACAAGAAACAAAAAAUUAUUAAAAAGUAAUCCGAUGAUGGUUGGAUACCCAGGUAAACUGGUCACCUUAUCAAAUCAUCCAAUGUAGCAAGCAAGCCAAUCAAAACAUAUGAGAAAACAAUCCACAACCAUGCUCUGUAAUGUAUCACACAAUUGGAUCCCACCCUUAAACACGAUUAAGUUGGGAUUCCAUAACACACCAAUUUGAAAUUCCACCCAAAUCCGAACCCGAUUUCAAGCUAGAUCGGUUCCUAUGUAUCACCACAGAGCGAUCCCAAGGCAUUCAUGACGAUGGCACAGCAACCUGUGGCAUCAGCACCAUCACCAUUCCCUGACAAAAAAGGAAGGCAGCGUGGGAGGCCGACUAAGCCAUCAGCACGGGUUAUGGCCCCUUGAGCCAGGGGUGCACCCACCACCAUGCACAACACCAACAGACAUGCAAGCUUAAGGGACAUUGAGCUAGCCAUAUGGAUUAAUCACAAGAAAAACAAACUUUUAAGGAAAAUGGUUGCUUGGAGUAUUGCUGAUUGUUGCGUGGUUAGGGGUUGAGGGUAGGAGGGUUUUUAUAGCCAAAAGUUGAGUUUUUAUUUUCUUUUUUUCAGCUUGGUGGUAGCAGGGAUUCUUUUGUUUUCCUCUGUACUUUUGGUUGUUGUUUUUGGGUGAUUCCUUUAGGCUUGUUUGCUGCUGUUUUUAGGCUGUGUCUCUGUCAAAACAGAUGUAGUGAUUUUGUGUGUGCCAACUUUCUUUCAAUUGAAUCAUAAUGGCCCUUCCCAAAAUAGUUAACCUAAAAAUUUGCGUACCGAAGUAAACCCCUAUAGUUGCUUACUUAUAAAACAGAAAACAUUAUCUUUCAUAAAGAUGGCUAAACCUACAAUACGUGUCAUUGGGGUCGGCAAUCGGGCAACAGAAGUGUGCGUCGUUUCUAAUCCUGAUUCUGAUUUAGAGACAUUCAAUCAUAAUCCACCGCAUGGUAGCUUUGCGCCACUAACUUUUUAACUAAGUGCGAUGACCAUCAGUUAGAUAAAACUAACUUGUCUCACGACGGUCUAAACCCUUAUGAAUAUUUAAUCCAAUAAUAGGCAAAUAUAUAGAUUAACGAUUUUCAAUACAUUUUAAAAUAAAUAAAAUAUUGAACUCUUGUGAUUGAUUUGGUGGUCAAGGGUUAUUCACCCAUAAAACCUACCAGAAAUAACAUUAAGAUAGGUGUAACUUAACAAACAAAUGCCUUUAAAAUAAUAACAAAAUUAACAAAAAAACAAGAGCUAUACAAUAUCUAAAAAAUAACAAUAAAACCCCUAACCCCUCUCCGCCAACGGAUUAGGGUCACGGGCAUUAUUAUCAAAUCAAUCAUAAUUAAAAUGCAAGCUAAUUCAUUCAAAUCAUAGUAAAAAUUACCCAUUUAGUCCUAAAUAUGAGUUUACAGGGCCCUAAAAUGAUUUAAGAACAAAUAGGGGCUAAUUUGAAACAAUUCUAGAAGUUUAGGGUGAAAUCUCAAAGUGCCUAGAAAUAGGAGACACACGAUUGUGUGGAAUGCCCCAGGCCGUGUGACUUUCAAAGUUGGGACACAUGGCCGUAUCCCACCCCGUGUCUCUAUCCGUGUAACUCAUUGACUUGAGAUACACGACCGUGUGUCAGACCGUGUGGAAACUACACCUAUACUAUUUUUCAACACGCUCAGGGCACAUGCCUAUGUGUGACACACGGCCGUGUGAUAAUAACAACAAAACAAUAACAAUAUAAUAGUGAAAUGACAAUAAAACAGUAGAAAAACAACAACAAUUUUUUUGUAAAUCUGGGUUGGGCUCGGACCAAAAAAUUCUUACUCGAGGCCCGAUCCAUUUCCUAAACGGGCCAUAAAAACCUUAUUUUGUGUGUCUCAGCUUUCUUUCAAUUGAAUCAUAAUGCCCCCUCCCAAAAUAAUUAACCUAAAAAUUUGCGUAAGUAAACCCUAUAAUUGCUUACUUAUAAAAAGAAGAGUUUUUAUUUCAUAAAGAUGGCUAAACCUACGACAUGUGUCAUUGGGGUCAGCAAUCGGGCGACGGACACGUGCAUCGUUUCUAAUCCGAAUUCUGACUUAGAGGCGUUCAGUCAUAAUCCAGUGUACGAUAGUUUUGCGCCACUGGCUUUUCAACUAAGUGUGAUGACUAAUUGUGCGAAUCAAUUGUUCCUCUCAUACUAGGUUGAAUUACUAUUGCGAUGCGACCAUCAAUAUGGUAAAACUAACCUGCCUCACGACGGCGUAAACCCAACUCACGUAUCCUACUGGUGGGUGAACAAUCCAACAUUUGGUGUAUGAAAGAAAAUAUUUUCUUUUAUAAGUAAGCAUUUAUGGGCAUUGAUGUUGAAUGCUUUGCAGUUAUAGGUAAUAUGAUUAAUAUGAAAGAAAAGUUUUCUCUUUAUAAGUAAGAAAUUAUAGUGUUUAGUUUCUACGCAAAAUUUUAGGUUAACUAUUUAUAUAUAUUUGUGGGAGGGAGCAUUAUUAUUCAAUUGAAAGAAAGCACACACAAAAUCGAAAUUCCAUCACUUCAAGUAAGAUUGAUUCCUAAUAAUAUUCACUUAUCACAAAGGACAUGCAAAAUGUAAAAUUUAAAUUAAUCUAUGGGCACCCCUAAAAUAGAAAAUUAUCUACUUAGGUCCUUUAGAAAUUUUAAAAAUUUAAAUUAAUAAAAAUAAAAUUACACUUUAGCCCUCUUAAAAAUGAUAAAAGUUUGAUUUAAUCCUUUAAAAAUUUUAAAGAUCUAAUCUAUUAAAAAUUAUAAUUUAAUUUCGAUACUCUAAACAAAUUUUCUAACUUCACCCCGCACAAGAAACUACAAGCUUUUAAGUGAAAUAUAACAUCUAUAGACAAGUUAGCCAUUACCAGGUUUCCAAGAAUUCAAGAAUUCUUCUGUAUAUUUACAAAAUAAAAAAGGAUGUAAGUGCUUUGUAUAUUUUGAAAGUACAAUUAAUUGAUAAAAAUAUCGUGGAACUGGAAGCCCGUGUACUAGGAGUCAGAUUGCAUUUUGCCAUUUUUAUUCAAAAAUGGACAAAUUAGUCCUUGUACGUUAGAUAAAAAAGCAAUUUGAUAUUUACUGUUAAAAAUUUCAUCCAUUUCUACAGUUAAAAACCAACGUGGCUAAUAGAAUAAUCAGGCACAUACAUGGACCGAUUUUAACAGUAGAAGUGGAUGGGAUUUUUAACAAAAGCACCAAUUUGUUCUUUGAUCUAAUGUAUAAUGACUAAUUUGCCUAUUUUUUUAGUAAAAAUGGUAAAAUUCAAUCUAACUCCUAGUAUAUGGGGCUUCCACAAUACUUUUACCCUAAUCAAUUAUUGUACAUAUUUUUAUUGAUAUAAUAACAAAUUUAAUCUGCAACAUUUACACAUUUUAUCAACAAUUAUAUAAAAUAAAUAAACAUCAAACGCUAAAUUUAUAAUGAGGCACCCCAAGAAAAUUGAUCGUCUGUUGGUGCAAUCUAGCAUCUUUAUGUUGUAAUAAGGCUUCUGUCCUUAUGGCAUCUGCAAAUUGGUUCUUUGAAACUGCACGACUCCAUCUAUGGCCAGAAACAAGCACCACAAGCUUGGCAUCUAGAGCUAAGUAGUUUUCCUCUGCAAUAUGAUUAAGAACUCGGUUUCAUAUGUUUGUUUAUUCAUCUAUGUUAAGGAUUCCAUCCUAAUUCUAUUUCUUGGUUUAUGUGAAUUAUCUUGUAGUCCUUGGAAGUAAUAAUAAUAUGAUGUUCAGUCUUUUCUGGCAACAAUUGUCUCUUAUAUUAGUCUUAAAAUAUCAUGGUCUCUGAAUUAUUUGAUGUGUUGAGGUAAUCUAAAGUUUACAAGGAUUGUUUCUUUUCUAACUGUUACGUAUCAGUAUCGGAACAAAAAUGAUACAUCUGCUGAUACGGUACUGACUACAUUGCUUUAGAUGCACACUCCUUUAGUGGACCUGCUCACUGUUCUGAAUUGAGAACAAGGAUGACAUCAAAAUGAACUGCAAUAACUUAUCGAUGCUGGUCCGAUAUCAGAAUCAUGAUUAUCGAAUUCGUUUAUCGGAUCAUAAUGAGCAGUUUUCAUCUCCUCGUUCAUGGUGAAUAGGGUUCCAUGUAUUCUAUCAAACUGAGGGUGUGAUGUAUCCCCUGCAAUAAAUUCAUGAGUUCUAGUACUCACCUGAAUGAAACUCCAACCCGGCAUCUUUCGAACACCUUUGUCUCUCAUCAACUUCCUUGCCAUUACAGAUUUAUCCCACCUUCCAGCUGAAGCAUAUAUAUUGGAUAAAAGUGCAUAGUUCCCACUAUUCCAAGGCUCCAAUUGUACCAAAUGGAGCAAAGCUAACUCUCCCAGCUCAGCAUCACCAUGAAUAUUAGAGGCAGCAAGAAGAGACCCCCAUAUAGCUGCAUUUGGCUGAAACGGCAUCUCACUAACUAGUUUGAGUGCUUCUGCUAGAUAACCGGCUCGACCAAGUAAAUCGAUCAUACAACCAUAGUGCUGAAUCUCGUGUUGAAUCCCGUACCUGUAUUUCAUAGCAUGGAAAUAAUAUCGACCCAAGUUCACCAAUCCUACAUGAGCACAAGCAGAGAGGACUGCGAUGAAAGUGAUAUCAUUCGGUUUAACUUGAGCCAUUUCCAUCCGAGAGAACAUGUCGAGAGCUUGUGUGCCAAGUCCAUGGAAUGCAAGUGCUGAUAUGAUGGUAGUCCAAGAUAUAACAGUUCUACGGGUCAUAUUCACGAACACAUGCAAAGCAUUGCUUAUAUUGCCUGAAUUCGAAUACAUUUCAAUUAGUGCAUUUUUAAGGGUAACCAUUUGAUCAAACCCACGUUUUUUAACGUAGCCAUGAAUGCAUUCUCCCAAUCGAAUAUGAAAAGCACCCAACUGCGCACAAGCGGAGAGCACAGCCAACAUUGCUAUUUCAUCAGGCACUACAUUCUCCAACUGCAUUUUGCGAAACACAGCGAUGGCUUCGUCGGGACGGUCCAUUUGAGCAUACCCUGCAAUCACUGAUGUCCAAGUAAUAAGUACCGCACCAUCGGUUUGAGUUCGAGGCAUACGGCUCAAUAAAUCCAUGGCAGUGUCUGGAUCCCCAACCUUGACAUACCCAGCAAUCAUUGCCAUCCAAACCACAACAUCAUCUGAACAAACAGAGGCGAGACGCAUUUCAUCAAACACCUUGCGAGCAUCCGAAAUGCGCGCGCACGAGGAAUACAUUUGAAUGAGAGCCGAAACCACGUGAACAUUGGAUUCGAGCCCCGCACAUAUGGCUUGUGAGUGAAUCUGGGUACCCAAACUCAUUGCCCGAAGAUCAACAACCGCCUUCAACGCGAACGGGAAAGAGUAACAGUCGGGUCGCAACCCGACCCGCCCAAUGCUUUUAUAAACAAGGAGAGCCUCAAAGGCGGAGUUGCAGAGUGUCAUCCCCUUGAUCAUGGUGUUGAAAACAUAAAUGUGAGGGUGGCUUUGGGAAUUAACUGAGAAUACGGAGUGGGCAUAGGCGGAGAAGCCCAGAGAAGAACAUGUUUCGAUGAAUUGGCUGAGAAGAAGCUUGUCGUGAUGGAGGGCUGUUCGAACCAUGAAUCCAUGAGCCGUCUCAACAUGGUUAAGGUUAGAGCAAUGCUUUAGUAAGUAAAGCAAUCUCUCUCUCAUUCGCUAAUGCCACUAAGCUAAAAAGCAGCGCCAGUACUGUUCUUUCUUAUUCAUGCUGCAAUGGCGGACCUGAGCCAGAUUAUUUGUGCAAGCUUUGGCUUAACGGUGUAAUUGAGUAUAGGCUCGAUUUCAAAUUUGAGUUGGGAGUUUAUACUUCAAAGAUUUAACUUAAACAUUGGCAGCUAAAUAAUAAAUUUCAUCAUAUAAAAAUAUAUUUAAAUAAAAAAUUUGAUCAGGGUACUUGAUUUCGAUUUGAAUGGAACUACUUAGGCUUAAGCUCGACAUACAGUUUGAUAGUAAUUAUUUACAAUUAAUAUAUAAAUUGAUUUGUUUAAGCUUUUUUCUGGGUUGGUAUAGUUCUUAACCAAAUCAUUAAUUAAUUUCUAAAUUAAAGAAAUAUCUCUCUUCUUUCAACUUAUAAUUAAUAUUAAUAUAAUAGAAUUUUUCAUGUUUUUAGUCAUCUUUAAUUAAAAAAUAAAAAAUCGAACAUGUAUUCAAUAAUAUUAAAAUACAUACUUUUCAUUAUGUAAAAUUAUAUUAAAAUGAAAAGUUUGAUUAAGCUUAUAAAGUUUGAAUUGAUUAGGAUGCUUGAAUUUGAUUUGAAUGAAACUGCUAAAGUUGAACGUUAACUUGAUAAUUAUCGGGUAAAAUACCAAAAAAGCCCUUUUUUUUAAAUUUACCGAAAUGGGCCCGGCAUUUUAUUAUUUAUCGGAAUGGGCCAUUUUCCCCGAAAUCGCGUCCACAUCAGCGCGAUGUCAGGGGACGUGUCAGCAAAUCGCGUCCACAUUAGCGCGCUUUGCUUACGUGAACACAAAUCGCUCCUACGAGGACGCGAUUUGCUGACACAUCAGCAAAGCGCGCUGACGUAGACGCGAUUUGCUGACACGUCCCCUGACAUCGCGCUGACGUGGACGCGAUUUCGGGGAAAAUGGCCCAUUUCGGUAAAUGAUAAAAUACCGGGCUCAUCUCGAUAAAUUUUAAAAAAUAAGACUUUUUUGGUAUUUUGCCCAAUAUGUAUUACUGUAAUAUGUAGCUCAAAUUAUGUAUUGUAGUUAAUAUUCAUAAUAUUGUAGCUCAAAUUGUCAAUCCGUCUAAACUAUUGUACUAAUAACAUAUAUUAAUGUAAUAUUGAAGAGUUAAUUGAUAAAAUAAAUAAAUGCAACCAGUACAAAAAAGAUUCAAAAUUAUUACCAACAAGAUUUGAACCAAUGUACUAAGGGAAAAAAAAUACAAGCAUCUUAACCAACUAAGCUAAACUAAUUAAUUGACAUAUUAUAAAAAUAUUGUUAUUAUCUUAAUUAUAUUACUUAAGUUCUAAUGAUUUAUCGGACCUAUUCCAUACACGUGCCAAAUCAAAAAAAAAUAAUAUAACAAUUCUGUAAAAAAAAUCCGGUGUUUACUUCAAAUAAAUAAGAAAAAUAAUGAUUUGAAUAUUUCAAAAUUCAAUUUUAAACCGAAAAAAUCAAAAUUUAGAGGUAAAAAAUCGAACAACCGAGCGAAAAAUUAUGGUCUUUCAAAGUUUUCCAAGCUAAAAAACAUAAACGGUCAAUUUUUUGACCGGUGGGUACGGUUCACGUGCGGUGCAAAUUGCGUCCACGUAAGCGCGAUUUGCUUCCACGUUAGCAAAUCGCGCUUACGUGGACGCGAUUUGUUGCCACGUAAGUAAUCGCGCUGGCGUGGACGCGAUUUGCUGACACGUCCCUUGACAUCGCGCUGAUGUGGACGCGAUUUCGAAAAAAAUAGCCUAUUCCGGUAAAUAAUAAAAUACCGGGCCCAUUUUCAAUAAAUUAAAAAAAAAUAGGGCUUUUAUGUGUAAUUUGCCCAUAAUUAUCAAGUAGACUUUAAAAACCUUUUUUCUUUGCUUAAUUCACCCAUCCAAAAACCCUAACAAUGGCUACCCUCUCGCAUGAUAUGAUCAUUGAAAUACUAGGUUGUUUAAGUGUAAAAGAUCUUCUACGCUUCAAGUGCGUUUCAAAGCUCUGGUGUUCUUGGAUCGAGGAUCCAUAUUUCAUCAACCUCCAUCUCUCGUAUUCCCUCAAAACCAAUACCAAUCACUCCCUUAUCCUCCGUCACAGGAAGUUCCAGUUCUUGUCCGUCAACUACGACUCACCCAAAACAACUCGAAGACUCGAGCAGCCAUUCGGUGAACAAAAAAAACCCAUUCAAAUAAUGGGUUCUUGCAAUGGUUUGCUGGCUGUAGAAUAUGACUACAAUAGAAUAUUUUUAUGGAACCUUUCAACGAGAAAAUACCAGGUAUUACCUUCCACUAAAAUAGACUUUUCAUCUCCAUCGAUUUGCUAUGGCCGUUCAAUUUAUUACGGCUUUGGGUACGAUCUCGUUUCUGAUGACUACAAAUUGGUUCGAAUGGUCCAAUUACUUGGAGAAAAUGAUGAAUAUUUUCAUUCUGAAGCUAAGGUUUACAGCUUGAGGAGCAACUGUUGGAGAAGGAUUAAGGAUUUCUGCUUUCAUCUUAUUUUCUAUCGAGAAUUAGGGUUUUUGGCUAACAAUGUUUUACAUUGGAUGGUUUCUAGAACUCCCGAAUCGAGUAAUAGAAACCUUGUUGGUUUUGAUCUUCGGAGCGAGGAAUUCCGUGUAGUUGAAUUGCCGGAUUUUUGUUUAGAUGAGAAUUUCUAUUUCGACGUAAAAGCCAUGGGAGGUUACCUUUGUUUGACUGCAACUCACAGGGAAUUGAAUGAUGUUGUGGUUGAUGUAUGGAUAAUGAAGGAAUAAGGGGUUAAAGAAUCUUGGGUUAAAUUGAUGUCGUCCACCCAACCUGACCUUCUUCCAGGUUCUCCAUUUGAAGUACCUUUGGCUUUUUCAAAGAAUGGUAACAAAGUAUUAUUCCACAAGAAAGAGUUAGGGGGUAACUGGGAGAGGGACAGUCUUGUGUGGUAUGAUUUGGGAAGCAAAAGGGUUGAGAAGGUUGGGAUUGAAGAUCUUCCACUUGACUAUGAUGUGUACUUGUAUGUUGAGAGCCUUGUCCCUCUUAAUGACAGGUGCCCCAGAGGUAAAUUUUCUUUAUUUAAUUGCAUUUCUCUUUGUUAUGUUAUGAUUUUCCAUUUAUAUUUUUCUUUAUAGAAAUUAAAAUAGAUGUGUUUAACAUCUAACUAUAGCACUUAUUAACUUUUUUUUUUGAAUGACAGCUCGAUACAAAAUUUUAGGCCUGUUUUCUAGGUUCGAGCUUGUCCCGAAAUAUGGGCCUAAAAAAUUAUAUAAGCCCGGCCGGAAAAAGAAUUACUAUGCCCGAGCCUGGCAUGACCCGGCCUAUAUAUUUGAAUGACAGUUCAAGAAAAACGUACUUCUACAUCAAAAAAGUAGAUUUGUCUAAAAAGCUUUACUUGAUGUUAUAAUAAGAGAAAAGAUAUGAGGGUUUCUUGAUUACUUUAUGAGUAUGGUAUUAUUAUUUUUAUGUAUUGGAGGAUGGUAUCAUUAUAUUUUUUUUUGGUAUCACUUUUAUAUUUAUUAUUAAAUAAAUUAACAUUGAACAGAAAAUAUUUUCUUUCAUGUACAUAUUUCUUAUAUUACUCAACUGAUCAAGUGUUUAAAAUCGUUCUUAUUUCUAUUAUAAUUUGUAAAUAAAAAAAUAUUUAUGAUUAUGACAUAAUACCGUGCUGAAAUACAUUAAUAAUUGGUGACUAAUAGUAUAGGUGUCAUUAUUUGUUGAUCUAUCCAUGGAUGCAAUAAUAUAUAUAUGUUAAUGGUGAGUUGAAUGUGUAUUUAGACCAUAUUUAUAUAAUUUGUAAAUGUGGAGGGUUAAUCUUAUUAAAUUGUUAAGAAAUAGGGCCAAAAUGAUAAAAUGUGCAAGUGUUGAUGACUAAAUGUGUUAAUAUAUCAAUUAAAAAAAGGCUACAUCAUCAUCCUUCUUUAAUUGAAAGUGACCAAAACAAAACUGACUGAAAAUGUUAGUGAUGAAAUUGAAAGUUUUUAUAAUUUGAUAGCUAAAACAAAAACACGCUAAUAAUUGAGACCCUUUUUAUUUUUACAAUAAAAAUAAUCAAUAAGAUAAGAUAUUGAAUCUAGUUAAUAGUUUUAUUUUUAUUUUGGUCACUGAAAAUAGAAUACUUGUAAUUUUGUCAGCCAACUAAGUAUUAAAUCUCUAAUGACGAUUAAUUGUACACGCUACAUCAAGUUAACACUUUCAUUUUGGUCACCCAAAAAAUAUUCUUUUUCUAAAUAUUGGUCAAGGAGAAACAAAAAAAGAUUAAAGUGAAAAAAAAUUCAAAUAGUAAUAUUUAAGUGAUGAUUCGAUGAUCAAUACAAUGAAUUAAUAUCCAACGACGAAAAGAAGAAUAUACUUUAAAUCUAAGUCGAUCUGACGAUCAAUGUCGAAGAUCAAAGAAGAAAGUUAUUUAAAUUUUAAUUUAUAGAUUCGUGAUGCUUAAAGCGGUUUCAUGAAAAAAAAUUUGAAGAGUAGAAGAGAAAAUGAAUGAAAGCUUUCGAUUAGUGCAAACAAUGUAAACAGAAAAGACCGUAUACAACAAUGAUUUUAACAAGUCGGUGACUUGAAUGAAAACUUUCAAAUAAUUUUAUAAUCAUUUUAUAAUUAUGAGAUUAAAACGUAAUUAUAUUAGUAAUUUAGCGAACGUGAUUUACCCUAAAAAAACAAUGCCAAGUACCAAGAUUGGAGCAGGACAUGGGAUUGCAAAUUUUGACAGAGAGGAGGAUAGAGAGGGUGGUAUAAUCAUGGAAUAGAUUAAGGCGGAGUUGCAGAGUGUCAUCGCCUUGAUCAUGGUGUUGAAAACAUAAAUGUGAGGGUGUGGCUUUGGGAAUGAACAGCGAAUACGGAGUGGACAUAGGCGGAGAAGCCCAGAGAAGAACGUGUUUCGAUGAAUUGGCUGAGAAGAAGCUUGUCGUGAUGGAGGGCUGUUCGAACCAUGGAUCCAUGAGCCGUCUCAACAUGGUUAAGGUUAGAGCAAUGCUUUAGUAAGUAAAGCAAUCUCUCUCUCAUUCCCUAAUGCCACUAAGAUAAAAAGCAGCGCCAGUACUGUUCUUUCUUAUUCAUGCUGUAAUGGAGGACCUGAGCCAGAUCAUUUGUGCAAAGCUUUGGCUUAACGGUGUGAUUGAGUGUAGGCUAAAUGGAAUACCAAUUUCUAAACUUGAGAAAGGAGUUUAUACUUAAAAAGAUUUAACUUAAAUUCAAACAUGGGUAGCUUAAUAAUAAUUGAAAAUAUAAUUUGAUGAUAUAAGAAUAUAUUUAAAUAAAAAGUUUGAUCGGGAUUCUGAGCUUUGAAAUUGAUUAGAAUGCUUGAAUUAGAUUUGAAUGGAAUUACUUAAGCUUAAGCUCGACAUGAAUAAUUGGAGUUAUAUAGCUUGUAAAUCUCUUACUCGAAUCACCAAUUCAGCUAUAAAAUUAAAUAAAUAUAUCUUUUUUUAUCUUAUAAUUAAUAAUAUUAUAAUAGAACUUUUAUGUGUUUACAACAUUUUUAAUUAAAAAUUCAAAUAUCGAAUUUGUAUUCAGUUUUUUCAUGAUAUAAAAAUAUAUUAAAAUAAAAAAUUUUAUUAGGAUAUUUGAAUUCGACUCGAUCACAAACAUAAUCAAAUAAAAACAAACUUACCUUUAAAAUCGUUGUUUUUCAUGCUAUGCUACGCUUUUCUCUACUGUUAUACCCUUAAAAAACUUUUCUUCUUUGAUUAACCUACACAUCCAAAAUCCCUUGAAAAUGGCGCCGCUCUCCCAUGAUAUGAUUCUUGACAUCUUUCGGUGUUUAAGUGUAAAAGAUCUUUCACGCUUUAAAUGCAUUUCAAAGUUCUGGUGUUCUUGGAUCGAGGAUCAAAAUUUCAUCAAACUUCACCUCUCCUAUUCCCUCAAAACCAAUACCAAUCGCUCCCUUAUUCUCCGUCACCGUAGGUACGAGAUCUUCUCCGUCAACUACGACUCACCCAAAACAACUCGAAGACUCGAGCAGCUUGAACAAAACAAAAACAUUCAAAUAUUGGGUUCUUGCAAUGGUUUGCUGGCUGUAGAAGAACAGAACGGUAGAAUUUUACUAUGGAACCCUUCAACGAGAAAAUGCCAGGUAUUACCUUCGGCUAAAAUAGUGUUUUCACCUCCACCUGCAUUCUAUUCCUGUUCAACUUAUUCCGGAUUUGGGUACGAUCCCGUUUCUGAUGACUACAAAUUGGUUCUAAUUGUCCAAUUACUUGGAACAUAUGAAGAAUAUCUUCAUUCUGAAGCUAAGGUUUACAGCUUGAGGAGCAAUUCUUGGAGAACGAUUAAAGGUUUCUGCUUUUAUUUUAUUUCCGAACGACAAUUAGGGGUUGUGGCUAACAAUGUUUUACAUUUGUUGGCUUUUAAAAUUCCCGAAUCGAGUAAGAGAAGCUCUGUUGAUUUAGAUGUGUUCGCUUAUAAAAAUCCCGAAUCGAGUUAUAAACACCUUGUUGGUUUUGAUCUUCGGAGCGAGGAACUCAGUUUAGUUGAAUUGCCGGAUUUUUGUUUAGAUGGGGAAGCCAAUGUCGACGUAAAAGCCCUGGGAGGUUACCUCUGUUUGACUGCAACUCAUAGGGACAUGUUUGUUUCGGGUGAUCUAUGGAUAAUGAAGGAAUAUGGGGUUAAAGAAUCUUGGGUUAAAUUGAUAUCGACUACCCAACUUGACUUUCUUCCAGGUUCUCCAUUUGUAGUACCUUUGGCUUUUUCAAAGAAUGGUAACAAAGUAUUAUUCCACAAGAAAAGCUGUAAGGGCGACAUGGACAGCGACAGCCUUGUGUGGUAUGAUUUGGGAAGCGAAAGGGUUGAGAAGGUUGGGAUUGAAGGUCUUCCACGUACCUAUGAUGUGCACUUGUAUGUUGAGAGCUUUGUCCCUCUUAAUGACAGUGUCCCUCGUAAUUACAGUAGCCCCAUAGGUAAAUUUUCUGUAUUUAAUUGCAUUUCUCUUUGUUAUGUUAUGAUUUUCCAUUUAUAUUUUUCUUUCUAGAAAUUAAAAUAGAGGUAAUUUUUCUUUAUUUAAUUGCUUUCUUUUAUGGAAAUAUGUGUUGCAAUAUGAAUUUCCAUUUAUGUUUCUCUUUGUAGAAAUUAAAAUAAAUGUCUUUAACAUCUAAUUAUAGUACCGAUAACUUUUUUUUUUGAAUGACACUUCUAGAACCUCGAGAAAAGCGUAUGGCAGCUCUAGAAGCUCGUGAAAAACGUAUUUUUACAUCAAAAAGUAGAUUUGUGAAUAACAGCUCGAGAAAAGCGUACUUCUACGGCAGAAGAUAAAUUUGUCUAAAAAACUUUACUCUUUACUUGAUGUUAUAAUAAGAGAAAAGAUAUGAGGUUUCUCGAUUACUUUAUGAGUAUGGUAUUAUUAUUUUUAUAUAUCGGAGGAUGAUAUCAUUAUAUUUUUAUUUGGUAUCACUUUUAUAUUUAUUAUUAAAUAAAUUAACAUUGAAUAGAAAAUAUUUUCUUUCUUGUACCUAUUUCUUAUAUUACUCAAUUGAUCAAGUGUUUGAAAUUGUUCUUAUUUCUAUUAUAAUUUGUAAAUAAAAAAUAUUUAUGAUUAUGACAUAAUACCAUGGUGAAAUACAUUAAUAAUUGGUGACUAAUAGUAUAGGUGUCAUUAUUUGUUCUUCUAUCUAUGGAUGCAAUAAUAUAUAUAUGUUAAUGGUGAGUUGAAUGCGUAUGUAGACCAUAUUUAUAUAAUUUGUAAAUGUGGAGGGUUAAUUUUAUUGAAUUGUUAAGAAAUAGGGCCAAAAUGAUAAAAUGUGCAAGUUCGAUGACUAAAUGUGUUAAUAUAUCAAUUAGAAAAAGGCUACAUCAUCAUCCUUCUUUAAUGGAAAGUGACCAAAACAGAACUAAUUGAAAAUGUUAGUGAUGAAAUUGAAAGUUUUUGUAAUUUGAUAGCUAAAAACACGCUAAUAAUUGAGACCCUCUUUAUUUUUACAAUAAAUAUAAUCAAUAAGAUAAGAUAUUGAAUCUAGUCAAUAAUUUUAUUUUUAUUUUGGUCACUGAAAAUGAAAUACUUGUAAUUUUGUCAGCCAACUAAGCAUUAAAUCUCUAAUGACGAGUAAUUGCACACGCCACAUCAAGUUAACGCUUUCAUUUUAGUCAUCUCAAAAAUAUUCUUUUUCUAAAUAUUGGUCAAGGCAAAAAAAAUUAAAGAUUAAAGUGAAAAAAAAUUCGAACAGUAAUAUUUAAGCAACGAUUCGAUGAUCAAUACAAUAAAUUAAUACCCAACGACGAAAAGAAGAAUAUACAUUAAAUCCAAGUUGAUCUGACGAUCAAUGUCGAAGAUCGAAGAAGAAAGCUAUUUGAAUUUUAAUUUAUAGAUUCGUGAUGCUUAAAGCGGUUUCAUGAAAAAAAAAUUGAAGAGUAGAAGAGAAAAUGAGUGAAAACUUUCGAUUGGUGCAAACAAUGUAAACGGAGAAGACCAUAUACAACAAUGAUUUUAACAAGUUAGUGACUUAAAUGAAAACUUUCAAAUAAUUUUAUAAUCAUUUUAUAAUUAUGUGAUUAAAACGUAAACUUAUUAGUAAUUUAGCGAACAUGAUUUACCCUAAAAAAACAAUGUUAAGUACCAAGAUUGGAGCAGGACAUGGGAUUACAAAUUUUGAAAGCUAGGAGGAUAGAGAGGGUGGUAUAAUCAUGCAAUAGAUUAAGGCGGAGUUGCAGUGUGUCAUCGCCUUGAUCAUGGUGUUGAAAACAUAAUGAACAGCGAAUACGGAGUGGGCAUAGGCGGAGAAGCCCAGAGAAGAACGUGUUUCAAUGAAUUGGCUGAGAAGAAGCUUGUCGUGAUGGAGGGCUGUUCGAACCAUGGAUCCAUGAGCCGUCUCAACAUGAUUAAGGUUAGAGCAAUGCUUUAGUAAGUAAAACAAUCUCUCUCUCAUUCGCUAAUGCCACUAAAGCUAAAAAGCAGCGCCAGUACUGUUCUUUCUUAUUCAUGCUGCAAUGGAGGACCUGAGCCAGAUCAUUUGUGCAAAGCUUUGGCUUAACGGUGUAAUUGAGUGUAGGCUCGAUACCUGGCUUUAGCUAAAUGGAAUACCAAUUUCUAAACUUGAGAAAGGAGUUUAUACUUAAACAUGGGUAGCUUAAUAAUAAUUGAAAAUAUAAUUUGAUGAUAUAAGACUAUAUUUAAAUAAAAAGUUUGAUCGGGAUUUGAGCUUUGAAAUUGAUUAGAAUGCUUGAAUUAGAUUUGAAUGGAAUUACUUAAGCUUAAGCUCGACAUGAAUAAUUGGAGUUAUAUAGUUUGUAAAUCUCUUACUCGAAUCACCAAAUUCAGCUAUGAAAUUAAAUAAAUAUAUCUUUUUUUUUACUUAUAAUUAAUAUUAUUAUAAUAGGACUUUUUAUGUGUUUACAACAUCUUUAAUUAAAAAUUCAAAAAUCGAAUGUGUAUUCAGUUUUUUCAUAAUAUAAAAAUAUAUUAAAUAAAAAAUUUGAUUAGAUUCAAUAUUUGAUUAGGAUACUUGAAUUCGACUUCAACAGAAAUACAAUAAUUAAAUAAAAAAUAAACUUACCUUUAAAAUCAUUGUUUUUCAUGCUAUGCUUUUCUCUAAUGCUAGACCCUUGAAAAACUUUUCUUCUUUGAUUAACCUACACAUCCAAAAUCUCUUGAAAAUGGCGACCCUCUCCCAUGAUAUGACUCUUGACAUCUUACGCUGUUUAAGUGUAAAUGAUCUUUUACGCUUUAAAUGCGUUUCAAAGUUCUGGUGUUCUUGGAUCGAGGAUCCAUAUUUCAUCAAACUUCACCUCUCCUAUUCCCUAAAAACCAAUACCAAUCGCUCCCUUAUUGUCCGUUACUGUAAGUACCAGUUCUUGUCCGUCAAUUACGACUCACCCAAAACAACUCGAAGUCUCAAGCAGCCACUCAGUGAGCAAAAAAAAUACAUUCAAAUAUUGGGUUCUUGCAAUGGUUUGCUGGCUGUAGAAGACGACGACGGUAGAAUAUUACUAUGGAACCCCUCAACGAGAAAAUACCAGGUAUUACCUUCGACUGAAAUAGAGUUUCCAUCUCCUCCGAUACGCUGUUCCCCUUCAACUUAUUACGGAUUUGGGUACGAUCCCGUUUCUGAUGACUACAAAUUGGUUCGAAUUGUCCAAUUACUUGGAGCAAAGGAUGAAUAUUUUCAUUCUGAAGCUAAGGUUUACAGCUUGAGGAGCAAUUCUUGGAGAAGGAUUAAAGAUUUCUGCUUUUAUUUUAUUUCCUAUCGACAAUUAGGGUUUUUGGCUAACAAUGUUUUACAUUUGUUGGCUUUUAAAACUCCCGAAUCGAGUAAAAAAGACCUUGUUGGUUUUGAUCUUCGGAGCGAGGAAUUCAGUUUAGUUGAAUUGCCAGAUUUUUGUUUAGAUGAGAAUAUCUAUUUCGACGUAAAAGCCAUGGGUGGUUACCUUUGUUUGUCUGCAACUUAUUGGGAAUUAGGUGACAUUGUGGCUGAUGUAUGGAUAAUGAAGGAAUAUGGGGUUAAAGAAUCUUGGGUUAAAUUGAUGUCGUCUACCUAUCCUGACCUUCUUCUAUGUUCUCCAUCUGAAGUACCUUUGGCUUUUUCAAAGAAUGGUGACAAAGUAUUAUUCCACUUUAAACUCAAUCGGGACAGAAGGGACAGUCUUGUGUGGUAUGAUUUGGGAAGCAAAAGGGUAGAGGAGGUUGGGAUUAGAGGUGUUCCAAUUGUCUAUGAUGUCGACUUGUAUGUUGAGAGCCUUGUACCUCUUAAUCUGAAGCCCCCCAGAGGUAAAUUUUCUUUAUUUAAUUGCAUUCUUUUAUGGAAAUAUGUGUUGUGUUUCUAUUAUUUGUACGUUGCAAUAUGAAUUUCUCUUUCUAGAAAUUAAAAUAGAUGUCUUUUAACAUCCGAUUAUAGCACUGAAUAACCUUUUUUUUUAUGACAGUUCGAAAAAAACGUACUUCUACAUCAAAAAAGAAGUUUUGUCCAGAAAGAGGUAAAUGUUAAACGAAAUUUGUUUCUUGAUUACUUUACGAGUAUGUUAUCAUUAUUUUUAUGUAUUGGAGGAUGGUAUUAUUAUAUUUAUAUUUGGUGUUAUAAUUAAAAAUCCAAAAAUUGAACAUGUGUUCAAUAAUAUUAAAAUACAAGUUUGUUAUCAUUUCUAUAUUCACUAUUAAAUAAAUUAACAUUGAACAGAUAAUAUUUUCUUUCACCCAUGUAAUGAGUGCGAUAAAAUCUAGUAUAUAUUAAACAACACAAAUACCAUGGAUUUCAUUUUAUUUAUUUAUUUUUAUUUAAUUCCUUUUUCUUUUAUGUAUAUGUGUUUCUUAGAUUACUAAUUGAUUUAAGAGUUUAAAAUCACUCUUAUUUCUAUUUAUAAUUUGUAAUGAAAAAAAAAGAUUUAUUCAAUUGAUUAAUAAUUUGAAUUAGUUGUUAUUUCUAUUAAAGUUUGUAAAUUUAUGAUUAUUACAUAAUACCAUGCUGAAAUACAUUAAUAAUUGGUGACUAAUAGUAUAGGUCUCAUUAUUUGUUGAUCUAUCUAUGGAUGCAAUGAUAUAUAUAUAUAUAUAUAUGUUAAUGGUGAGUUUAAUAUGUAUGUGGACCAAAUUUAUAUAAUUUGUAAAUAUGGAGGGUUAAUUUUAUUAAAUUGUUAAGAACUAGGACCAAAAUGAUAAAAUGUGUAAGUGUCGAUGACUAAAUGUGUAUGUGGACCAAAUUUAUAUAAUUUGUAAAUGAGGAGGGUUAAUUUUAUUAGAUUGUUAAGAAUUUAGACUAAACUGAUAAAAUGUGUAAGUGUUGAUGACUAAAUGUGUUAAUAUAUCAAUUAAAAAAAAGCUAUAUCGUCAUCCUUCUUUAAUGGAAAGUGAUCAAAACAGAACUAACCGAAAAUGUUAGUGAUGAAAUUGAAAGUUUUUGUAAUUUGAUAGCUAAAACAAAAAACAUGCUAAUAUUUGAGGCCCUUUUUGUUUAUACAGUAAAUAUAAUCAAUAAGAUAAGAUAUUAAAUCUAAUUAAUAAUUUUAUUUUUAUUUUGGUCGGUCAAAAUGAAAUACUUGCUAUUUUGUCACCCAACUUUUAAAACACUUUUAUUUUAGUCACCCAAACGUUAAAUCUCCAACGACGAUUAAUUGUACAUGCCACAUGAAGGUAACGCUUUCAUUUUGGUUACUCAAAAAAAUAUUAUUUUUUAAAAUAUUGAUCGAGGCAAAAAAAAGAUUAAAGUGAAAAAAAGUUCGAAUAGUAAUCUCUAAGCGACAAUUCGAUGACCGGUACAGUGGAUUAGUACCCAUUGACGAGUAGAAGAAUAUACCUUAAAUCCAAGUUAGUUGAACGAUCAAUGUCAAAGAUCAGAGUAGAAAGGUAUUUGAAUUUUAAUUUAUAGAUUUGUGGUGCUUAAAGCAGUUUUAUGAAAAAAAAUGAACAGUAGAAGAAAAAGGUAAUGAAAGCUUUCGAUUGGUGCAAGCAAUGCAAACAGAGAAUGCUAUAUACAAUAAUGAUUUUAACAAGUUAGUGACUCGAAUGAAAACUUUCAAAUAAUUCUAUGAUCAUUUUAUAAUUCAGUGAUCAAAACGUAAACUUAUUAAUAAUUUAGUGAACUAAGUGUGGUUUACCCUAAAAAACAAGAUUAAGUACUAAGAUUGGAGCAGGACAUGGGAUUGCAAAUUUUGCAAGAGAGGAGGAUAGAGAGGGUGGUAUAAUCAUGCAAUAGAUUAAAUUGUAGUGUCUCUGUUUUGUUAUGGCUAUGGAUUUUUAACAUUCAUUUUUAUUAUGCAGACAACAGUAUUUCCCUUCCAUUAGCUGAUCCCAACUUCCAUGGCCACACUUCACUUAACGCAGCCACACCAAAACAAAACAUUCGUCAUCGAUACCCAUAAGCGAUCAACUUUGGGUCAUUUUCUUUUUCCCUAAUGAUGGAGGCUUUGAGCAGUACCUUCAAUGACUAUGAAUAGACAGAAACAAAAGAUAACAGAAAAAGAUGAAAAAUAGAAGAAGAGAAAAGUAUUUUAAUCUUUAUUUCAUAAAACUAAAAACCUACCUUUUACAUAGAAGACUUCACUAUUUAUAGGGAACUAAGAUGAAUAACUGAAGCAGCAACGAGUUAGCUGAAUUAGUCUUACUAACCACCUGAUCAUGACUUAUAAUCCUGUUAUCAUCAUUGUUCUCUCCUUCUACUAAAAUAGAUAAACAUGAAGAGAUUUCAUCAGUAGAAGCAACUCAAAGCUGAUGCUGCAAGUGAGUAAAAAAACCAGCUGCCAGUGGCUUAGUCAGAAUAUCUGAAAUUUGAUGUAUAGCCGGAUCAUAAUGAACAUCAACUUCACCAGCAGCCACCUUUUCGCGGACAAAACACAAGUCUAACUCCGCAUGCUUCAUCCGAGUAUGUUGCACUGGAUUGCUAGAGUGUGCAACGGCACUAGUUUUAUCACACCAAAUGAUCGGAGGUUAAGCAACAAGUUGAAUUCCUAUCUCAGUCAACAAUGAUUUCAGCCAAGCUAUUUCACACACAGUAUUGGCAACACUUCGUAAUUCAGCUUCUGUAGACGAUCGUGCCACAACACUUUGUUUCUUGGAACUCCAUGCAACUAUGUUGUUACCAAGAAACAUAGAAUACCCAGCUGUAGAACGACAAUCAUCAAUGUUGCUUCCCCAAUCUGGGUCAGAGUAAGCUGUAAUGUGUAAGGAGGGACAAGGUCAAAAGACAAGUCCAUGUUGUAGGGUACCUUUGAGAUAACAAACAAUCCAUUUUACCGCCUUCCAAUGCUUGUCAAGUAACAUUGCAUGUAGUGACUAACCUUAUUAACAUUAUAGGCAAUAUCAGGGCGUGUAAAGCAAAUGUGUUGGAGAGUACCUGCUGUUUGUCGAUAAAGAGUAAUGUCAAGAAACGGAUCUCCAUCAUAAGCCGUUAAAAGCGAUGUAGUAACCAUCGAAGUUGGUAACAGUGUGGCAUAAUUCAAUUUGAGUUUAUGCAAAAAAUCUAGAACAUGUAUAUAUUUUUACUGAGAACUAGACUAUCAGAUGUGUGAUGAACCUCCAUGCCUAAAAAAUAAUUGAGUUUACCCAAAUCCUUUAGCGAGAAUCGCUCAUGUAGAGCUGAGAUGACGGAAUCAACAUCAUGCAAGCUGCCACCUGUUACAAUGAUAUUGUCAACAUAAACUGCUACAUAAAGUUGACCAGCCUACUCCAAAUCGUUAAUGAAUACUGAGGAAUCAGCCUUGGAAGCUCGAAACCUGAGAUACCCAACAAGAAACGAAGUCAGCUUCUCAAACUAAGCUCGUGGAGCUGGCUUGAGCCCAUAGAUGUACUUGUGUAGUCGACAGACCAGUGGAACACCACGCUCAUCACAUUGCUCAAAACCCGGAGGUUGAUCCAUAUAUACUUCUUCAGUAAGAUCUCCCUUCAAGAAGGCAUUAUUAAUAUCAAUUUGUCUGAGUUGCCAAUUGUUGGUCAAUGCCAAAGACACCAAGACACACAUUGUAGGUUGCUUGAUAACCGGACUAAAUGUUUCUUUAAAAUUAAAACCAUUUGCGACGGGCUAACGACCCAUUUGCAUUUUUCUUUGUCUUAAAAAUCCAUUUGCAACCAACAUUGGUUCUAUUAUUCGGAAGAGAAACCAAACUCCAAGUUCCAUUGAAGAUGAGUGCACAGGUUAUGGCCCCUUGAGCCAGGGGUGCACCUACCACCAUGCACAACACCA
rnacentral:lncRNA from 1 species